rnacentral:rRNA from 1 species
GACCCCGCACAAGCGGCGGAGCAUGCGGCUUAAUUCGAUGAUACCCGUAGAACCUUACCUGGACUUGACAUAUAGGGAAAAACUAAAGAAAUUUAGUGUGCGUAAGCGCCCUAUACAGGUGGUGCAUGGCUGUCGUCAGCUCGUGUCGUGAGAUGUUGGUUAAGUCCCGCAACGAGCGCAACCCCUGUCCUAUGUUGCCAGCAAGUAAUGUUGGGGACUCAUAGGAGACUGCCGGUGAUAAACCGGAGGAAGGUGGGGAUGACGUCAAGUCAUCAUGCCCCUUAUGUCCAGGGCUGCACGCAUGCUACAAUGGUAGUGACAAUGGGUUAAUCCCAAAAAGCUAUCUCA